GCUGUUGGUUUAUAGGAAUGCUAGGGAUUUUUGUACAUUAAUUUUGUAUUGUGAAAUUUGCUGAAAUUGUUUAUCAGCUGAAAAAGCUUUUGGGCCAAGGCUAUGAGGUUUUCUAGAUAUAGGAUCGUGUCAUCUGCAAACAGAGAGAGUCUGACUUCCUCUCUUUCUGUUGGAUGCCCUUUCUUUGUUGUCCCAUUGCUCUGGCUAGUACUUC
rnacentral:lncRNA from 1 species